rnacentral:lncRNA from 1 species
UCAGAAUCGGGGGAGGAAGGUGAGAGAGGAAAGCAGAAUCCAAGAAAAGCCUUCCCUGGGAAGCACAGACGUGGCCUUGGGGCCUGGGGCUGAGAAGCCGGUCAGGAAGGGGCAGGCGGACACGGGGCCUCGGGGCCUGGGGCUGAGAAGCCGGUCAGGAAGGGGCAGGCAGACACUGCCUCUGCUGGUUGUGGGUUCAGGGCUGACGUGGCUGUGACGCACUCUGCUCAGGGUUCAGCGGGUCCUGGGUGCAGUGGUGGAGCUGUCACUGCUCACAUCCUCAUGGAACCACGUGCCAGUGACGGGGAUAGAUUUGCAGCCAGCAGCACAGCCAGACACGAGGGGCUGAGGAGGAGUCAGCAGACCAUGUAUUUGUUGUUGUUCUAAGAAACCUUUUCACUCGUCCUGCUUUGGUGACAUUCUCUCUUGAGGUGAAGCUUUAGGAAAACAGGGUCCAAGAUGGACAAACAGGAUGCUUUACGGAAUGGUCAGUGUUUUUCCAGCAUGGCCCCACCCCUGCUGGGAUGGUCCGCGGCCAUUGUGAAAAACAAGUGAGUUGGAAACUCACCCAGUUCCCAGUCAGCCCAGAGUCAGGGAAUAAAUGGACAACCAGAGAGAGCCAGAGUCGCUACAGCCAGCCUGGCAGUGCAAGCCCGGAGCUGACACAGGGCCACAGCCACGAUGCAGCCACUAAUGCGGACCCUUGGGCUGAGCCUGCUUUCCAUGCUGUGAGCCCAGGGGACCCAGAUGGUUCCUGUCCCCGCUGAGAAGGUGGAAGGACUGUGGCACGCCCUGCGCUGGGAGCAGGACAGGGAGCUACUUAAAGAGGAGACGGCUCACCCUCUGCCACCAUUCUGGAUCCAGCGUUUCCAGGGUAACUUUAUGUUAAAAAUGAAUGUAAGGGAUCCCACUGGGAACUGCACAGUAUUUAAGACACUGCUGGUGAAAACAGACAACUCUACCACGUACAGAAUCUAUUCCUGCGUGGUCGGCUGUAACUGAGGUGAGUGCCACAAGGCCUCUGCGUGUGUUCAGAGUGUCCACACCAGACUCCGGCCGGACUCAUGGGCCCUGGGACUCCGCAGCCCUCGACCUUGGCAGCCUCCUUGCCUGUGGGUGCUUGAAUGCCACGCAGCAUCCGACACAUCCCACAACCUUGAGUCUGCUAUGAGUCAAGUGUGGUCGCUGUAGAUAAGGAGGAAAAAAGAUCAUGAAAAAGAACAACAACAACAAAAAAUCACUCAUGGCCGGGCGCGGUGGCUCAUGCCUGUAAUCCCAGCACUUUGGGAGGCCAAGGCAGGCAGAACACGAGGUCAAGAGAUCAAAACCAUCCUGGCUAACACGGUGAAACCCUGUCUCUACUAAAAAUACAAAAUAUUAGUCAGGUGUGGCGGCAGGCGCCUAUAAUCCCAGCUACUCGGGAGGCUGAGGCAGGAGAAUGGCGUGAACCCAGGAGGUGGAGCUUGCAGUGAGCCGAGAUCGCGCCACUGCACUCCAGCCUGGGCAACAGAGCAAGACUCCAUUUCAAAAACAAACAAACAAAAAUCACUCCUAAGCUCACCACCCAGGCCAAUGUACUCCAGAAAAAGGGAGAAGGCUUCACCACCUCCCUGUGUGAUUUCAUGUCCCAAGCUCUGUGUCUCAGGGUGUAGGAAGCCCUCUGUUGAAUAAGUCCACCCUCCCUGGCCACAGCCUUAGUCCUACUUGCUGUUUGGGAACAGAAGAUCCCUGCCCGGUGCCUACAGAGGGGUGGGCAGAGGCUGAAACCCUCCUCCAUCUUCCCUCCCAGGCCCCAGGAGCCGAAGAUUCCUCUUCUCACGACAUGAAGCUCCCCUCCCCUCCUCCAGUCCUCAGCUUUCCUUUCUAAGAGAGAAGAGACCGGGGCCUGGGCAGUGAGUGGACAGGACUGUCCCCCUGUCCUCCUCUGUAGGUGCACGCCCCUACAGGUGACACCUCUGGGUCCUCCACACCCUCAGUAGGAGCUCCAGGGCAUGGCUGGUCUCCCAGCCACACGGGAAGCCACAGGAUCCCCAUGGGACAUCCCCAGCCACGUGCCACACUCAGUAACCACCCGUGGGCUUGUGUGCAAAUCCCUGAAGUCAGUGAUGGCUCAAAUGUCGUCUCUGCCACCGUGGAGGUUGGCCAUGGGGGAAAGGUGACGGGGGCAGAAGGGUGAGGGCUCCAAGUGGCUCGAGGAAGGGGCCAUGGUGUGAGCAGGGGCACGGGCGGGCAGUCAAGGAGCUGGGAAGGGCCAGCCAGUCCUGCCCUGGAGCCUCCGGGAGGAGCCAGCGCUGCGGACACCUUGGCUGUAGCCAGGGAGGCUCACUUUGGACUUCCAACCUCCACACCUGUCAGAGGCCACGAGUGUUUAGCCAUUAAAGAAACCUCCAGGGGCUGCGGUGACAAAUGACCACAGACUCAGGAGCUGAACACAACGCACAUGCAUUGUCUCACAAUUCUGGAGUCAAAAGUCUAGAAACAGUCGGUGGGGCUGGUUCCUUCUGGAGACUUCUGGGAAGGGGAGAAGCCGCUUUCUUGGCUUUCCCAGUUUCUGGAGUGGCUGCAUCCUGCACUCUCGGCCCCGCCAUGCCACCAAGGCCUCCGUUUCUGUAGCCUCUGCUGCUCUCUGGCAUCUGCACGGUUGCCCCGAAGCCGCUCCGCGACGGCCCUCCCUGAGCUGUGUAGCGCUGGGGGGAGGAGGCGUGGCCACAGUGGGCUGCAUUCAGGAUCUUGAAAGCCACUGAAGCCAUGGCUGGCUCUCAGUCCUCAGGGAGCCUCUUCCCCUGCCUGGCACCAGGCUCCCAGAAUCUGGGAGGCAGCCUCUUCAUCUGGCUGCUGGUGGAGACCUGAGCCCAGCCCCAGGGUCCUCAGUCCUGCCCCUUGUCCUCCGCAAGCUCUCACUACAUCCUACCUAUGUCCAGGGACCUCGGCCCAUGCAUCUGCCCAGAUCCCAGCCUACCCGAGAGCAUGCAUCCCCAACUGGACCAGCACCCAACACAGCCCAGGGCUCCCCUGACCCACAUAAACCUUGUUAAUAUUGCCUCUGUGGUCUCUGCUUGUUGCCUGAGGGGUGGAGGUGGGGGGUAUCUGCUCAGACUGGCUCCAGCGCGUCCUAAGGCCAGGCCCUUCCCAAAGGAGAGUGAAGCCAGGCCCCAUGAGUCCCAGCUGGACAGGAAG